UAGGUACACCAUUUAUAACUCGAGAACGGCUGAAACAAUUUUGACGAAUUUUCGCGUAGAGACAGAUGGGACCCCGGAGAAAACGGGCUACUCUUUGCCGCGGAAGUAAAACACAAGGGCCGUGAAAUAUGGGAUGAGAUGUGUUUGCAUAUUUUUCGUAUGAACAAAUUCUGUCGAAUUAUGGAUUACCUCGGUAACACGGA